UUUCUUCAUCUCCUCUACCAAAGUUUCUUUAUCACCUACACAACUAAAACCCUAUCUUCUAAAUUAUGUGCAUCGUCAUUAAACAAGCCCUUUACUCCACCUCGUUCUUAUUGAUGUCUUCUAUUAAUUUUUUCGUUUUCUGGAAACAGAAACAGAACCAUUUCUGUAACCAAUUUCUUAGAAUUGUAACAUCAAAUUCAAUUGUGAACCAUUCUUAAAUCCAUUUUUUUGCCUUUAUCUGUUAGGGUUCUAAUCAACUAUUCUUCUAUUUCGUAAAUGGAACCCCCUUUUAUUUCAACAUCAGUAGUAUAUCGGAGAAGAGUACCACAAAAAUCAGAGAAGAUGUUCUGGUUAUUAUCAUUGGAUUUAUUUGUGUUAUGUUUUAUUCGAAGUAAUACAUCUACAAAGCAGCCAUCAGGGAUCAGCUGGAACACAUGAUUCUUGGGGACCUCAAAUUAAGGGUCUUACUUGAGACACCAAAUGAUGAGAUGAACAUCAUUAGAAACGAUUCAUUUAGUUUAUUGAUGAUCUCAGUGGAGUAAGAAAUGGAAUUGACUAUUGAGGUUUGUGCAUUUGAUAAUUGUGGAAUGGGCUAGAGUUCGAUACCCACUAGAAAAUCUGAAUACAUGGACAACAAUAUGGCAAAAGAUGCAUUGGCA